rnacentral:rRNA from 1 species
AACGAACGCUGGCGGCAGGCUUAACACAUGCAAGUCGAACGGUUGUAGCAAUACAGCAGUGGCGCACGGGUGAGUAACGCGUGGAUAUCUGCCUUUUGGUUCGGAAUAACUCCGGGAAACUGGAGCCAAUACCGGAUGGUUCCUACGGGAUUAAGAGUUAUCGCCAAAAAAUGAGCCCGCGUACGAUUAGCUAGUUGGAGGGGUAAUGGCCCACCACGGCGACGAACGUUAGCUGGUCUGAGAGGACGAUCAGCCACACUGGGACUGAGCCACGGCCCAGACUCCGACGGGAGGCAGCAGUGGGGAAUAUUGGACAAUGGGCGCAAGCCUGAUCCAGCAAUGCCGCGUGUGUGAAGAGGGUCUUCGGAUCGUAAAGCACUUUCGACGGGGACGAUGAUGACGGUACCCGUAGAAGAAGCCCCGGCUAACUUCGUGCCAGCCGCCGCCGUAACAC